AGCGAACGCUGGCGGCAGGCCUAAUACAUGCCAGUCGAACGAACUCUUUCUAGUUAGUGGAGGACGGGAGCUUAACACGUGACAACGUACCUUUUGGUUCGGAAUAUCCCACGUAGACUUGUGCUAAUACUGAAUGUGCCCUUCGGGGGCAAGAUUUAUCGUCAUUUGAGCGGCCCGAGUCUGAUUAGCUAGUUGGCGAGGUAACGGCUCACCAAGGCGACGAUCAGUAGCUGGUCUGAGAGGAUGACCAGCCACACUGGGACUGAGACACGGCACAGACUCCUACGGGAGGCAGCAGUGGGGAAUCUUGCGCAAUGGGCGAAAGCCUGACGCAGCCAUGCCGCGUGAAUGAUGAAGGUCUUAGGAUUGGAAAAUUCUUUCACCGGGGACGAUAAUGACGGUACCCGGAGAAGAAGCCCCGGCUAACUUCGUG
rnacentral:rRNA from 1 species